rnacentral:lncRNA from 1 species
AUGGUGUUUAAGCUACUAGCGUGCUAGGGAAGCGAGGCAAUAAUAAGCUUCUAGGAGCCUGUGACCUUAGGACAGUGUCCACGUACCUGUUCCAGGGCCAUAAUUAUCUGUAGAUCUUGUACUGGCACCUGUAGUCAGUAAGAUUUACAGUUAGUCGUCUAGAAGUCUUAAAACAAUAUUUACUUUCGGUCUGUAAUAAUCAAGAAUUUGAGUUGUCGGAA